ACACACACACACACACAAAAAAAAAAACACAACUAGGUAAAUACACACAUUAUUUUUUUUCUCCCUCCUGCCCCCUCCCCCCGUCUCCUUAACCGAGGUCCCCAAGUUACCUCCUUUUUUUUUUUUCUAUUUUCUCCCCCUCCCUCCCCUUGGUAUAUAAGCCCCUCACGGCCCCGUCAACACAAUCCACACCACGACACACACCGCGACGGACACAGACGCAGGGAGAGGCAAGAGGAGAUAGCGAGCAACAGGCACCAUGCGGACACACAUCGUUCUUCUCGUUGUAGCUCUUCUGGUCCUCAGCCUCUGCCUCUCCUGUCACUCCUUGCCGCACCCUGUCGCGGAAGGUUAUGCAAUAGCUCCCCGUCCCUGCCGAGGCUGCUACUUUAAGUACGGGUAUAAGUGCAUAAGGAAGGUGUACUGUGACCCUAACCAACCCUGGAGGGGCGGUGGUAUUGUCGGCGGGAAGGGGCGAGGAUAGAUGAUGUAAGGGACAACACAUCCCCGGGACACCUUUGUCACGUGGGACUGCAGGUGUUCCUGGACUACGACGCGGCGUUCAACAAGCUUGGAGAGGACGAGUGCUUGACGCAGCCCAGCUUGUGAAAGGAAUGUACUGACACGAGGGGGACUGUGGCUUCAAACCGUGUAUUUGUGAUGCGUGCGAGAAAUAUGGUCUCCUGUGCAGGUGUGUGGGAACAAGUUACUAGCUUGCAGGUGUGGUGAAAGGUGAAGAGCUGCCGUGAAAGAGGAGGAGGACGAGGACACGGACAAAGAAACGAUGAUGACGUCGAGAACGAGAACAAGGAGAAUGACAGGAGGAAGGAGGAGGAGGAGGAAAGUGGCAACAAGAAUAAGGAAGAAGGCGACGAGAAAGUAAGAGGAAAAAUAAGGAGAGGGAGGAAAGGAACAGCAAGAACGAGUACGAAGGCGACAGAAGAGGGUGACAGGAAGAGUGAAGACGAGGAGGAAACUAACAUCAAGGACGAGGACGAGGAGAACGAGCAGGACGACGAGGACUGUAAGACGAGGGGAAUAUACGUGUGUACAACUGACCAACGACGAGGAGAGGAAAACAAAAUGACAAAUGACAGGAACCUUCACUUAAUAUAAAUGUCAAAACAAAUGAACGUUAAACACACACACACACACACACACACACACACACACACACACACACACACACACACACACACACACACACACACAGGUAAAUGUUAUGUAUACUUAUGGGUGUAUGUGUAGCCUACGCAUGUAUGGGUCAGCGGUAAAUAUAUACACUUAUGCAUUAACCUUUGUGUGUGUUCCUCUUCCUGCUUAAUGUUAGGCAUACGUAAACGUGUCCACCGGUAAAUGUUAUGUAUACUUUGGGUUAAAACAUGUAUUGGUGAAAUAUAUAAACACGUCUGCUGCAGCCUUUGAGUGUGUGUGCCUCGUCCUGCUUCCUGAGCGUGAGGGAAAGACAGACAUCAUUUUUUUCGUCUGGGAAUUCCCUAAACUUUUCUCUCUCUCUCUCACCGUCUCCUUAACCGAGGCGCCCAAGUUUCCUCCUUAACUGUUCCCUCCCCUCCCUCUCCCCCUCCCUCCCCUUGAUAUAUAAGCCCCUCACGGCCCCGUCAACACAAUCCACACCACGACACACACCGCGACGGACACAGGCGCAGGGAGAGCCAAGAGGAGAUAGCGAGCAACAGGCACCAUGCGGACACACAUCGUUCUUCUCGUUGUACCUCUUCUGGUCCUCAGCCUCUGCCUCUCCUGUCACUCCUUGGCGCACCCUGUCGCGGAAGAUUAUGCAAUAGCUCCCCGUGAAUGCCCAAAAUGCUACUUUCAGGUCGGGUAUGAGUGCAGGAAGGAUUUCUACUGUAACCCUAACCAACCGGUCAGGGGCCGUCGUGAUGUCGGCUGGAAGGGGCGAGGAUAGAUGAUGUAAGGGACAACACAUUCCCGGUACACCUUUGUCACGUGCGACUGCAGGUGUUCCUGGACUAAGACGCGGCGUUCAACAAGCUUGGAGAGGACGAGUGCUUGACGCAGCCCAGCUUGUGAAAGGAAUGUACAGACACGAGGGGGACUGUGGCUUCAAAGCUUAACACUAUAACCGUGUAUUUGUUAUGCGUGCAAAAAAUAUGGUCUCCUGUGCAGGUGUGUGGGAACAAGUUACCAGGCUGCAGGUGUGGUAAAAGGUGAAGAGGUGCCGUGAAAGAGGAGGAGGACGAGGACACGGACAAAGAAACGAUGAUGACGUCGAGAACGAGAACAAGGAGAAGACAGGAGGAAGGAGGAGAAGGAGGAAAGUGGCAGCAGGAAUAAGGAAGAAGGCGACAAGAAAGUAAGAGGAAAAAUAAGGAGAGGGAGGAAAGGAACAGCAAGAACGAGUACGAAGGCGACAGAAGAGGGUGACAGGAAGAGUGAAGACGAGGAGGAAACUAACAUCAAGGACGAGGACGAGGAGAACGAGCAGGACGACGAGGACUGUAAGACGAGGGGAAUAUACGUGUGUACAACUGACCAACGACGAGGAGACGAAAGCAAACCGAUAAAUGACAGGAACCUUCACUUAAUAUAUAUGUCUAAACAAAUGAACGUUUAAACACACACACACACACACACACACACACACACACACACACACACACACACACACACACACACACACACACACACACACACACACACACACACACACACACACACACACACACACACACACACA